GGAGUUGUGGCUCAGUGGUAGAGCACUUGCCUAGCACGUGUGAGGCACUGAGUUUGAUUCUCAGCACCA
rnacentral:tRNA from 1 species